rnacentral:rRNA from 1 species
CGUCAAGUCCUCAUGGCCCUUAUGUCCAGGGCUACACACGUGCUACAAUGGGCAGUACAGCGGGUUGCCUAGCGGUAACGCGAAGCUAAUCCCUAAAAGCUGCUCUAAGUUCGGAUUGAGGUCUGCAACUCGACCUCAUGAAGGUGGAAUCGCUAGUAAUCGCGGAUCAGCAUGCCGCGGUGAAUACGUUCCCGGGCCUU